rnacentral:sRNA from 1 species
UCAUAGCCCCGAUAGUAGCGGCAUCUUUUUUCUUUUUUGCAAAAAAGAAAAAGAUAUAGCCCUUCGACAAGCUCAGGAUAAACU